UUUACAAAAAAACUUAUUCCAACAAAUGAUAAAUGGGGAACACUUUUUAAUAAUUUUAGUGGUACUGGGAUGGUAGGAUUGGUUGUGGGAGAAGAAGCAGAUUUUGGAGUUGGUUGUUUUUAUCAAAUGUUACCACGCCGCGUUUUACUAGACUUUUCAACGGGGACAAUGCGAAAUGCUCUGACUUUUCUUGUGCCUAAACCUCAAUUAUCAGCGGGAAUUGAUGUGCCUUUGAAACCUUUUCAAUUUGGUCCAUGGUUCAUGAUGAUUACAACGCUUUUCAUUCUUGCUGCUUGUUAUACAGUUGCAAAUAAAUUUUAUAAACGAUAUAAAGGUCAUUUUUUAUUUGGACGAUUUUUAUUUGAAAUCUAUGGUGUUUUGCUAUC